GAUGAACGCUGGCGGCGUGCCUAAUACAUGCGAGUCGAGCGAACGGACGAGAAGCUUGCUUUUCUGAUGUUAGCGGCGGACGGGUGAGUAACACGUGGAUAACCUACCUAUAAGACUGGGAUAACUUCGGGAAACCGGAGCUAAUACCGGAUAAUAUUUUGAACCGCAUGGUUCAAAAGUGAAAGACGGUCUUGCUGUCACUUAUAGAUGGAUCCGCGCUGCAUUAGCUAGUUGGUAAGGUAACGGCUUACCAAGGCAACGAUGCAUAGCCGACCUGAGAGGGUGAUCGGCCACACUGGAACUGAGACACGGUCCAGACUCCUACGGGAGGCAGCAGUAGGGAAUCUUCCGCAAUGGGCGAAAGCCUGACGGAGCAACGCCGCGUGAGUGAUGAAGGUCUUCGGAUCGUAAAACUCUGCUAUUAGGGAAGAACAUAUGUGUAAGUAACUGUGCACAUCUUGACGGUACCUAAUCAGAAAGCCACGGCUAACUACGUG
rnacentral:rRNA from 1 species